rnacentral:rRNA from 1 species
GAUGAACGCUAGCUACAGGCUUAACACAUGCAAGUCGAGGGGCAGCAGGGAUUUAGCUUGCUAAAUCCGCUGGCGACCGGCGCACGGGUGCGUAACGCGUAUCCAACUUUCCCGUUACUCAGGGAUAGCCUUCCGAAAGGGAGAUUAAUACCUGAUGGUGUUUGAAGUUCGCAUGUUCUUCAAACUAAAGAUUUAUCGGUAACGGAUAGGGAUGCGUGACAUUAGAUAGUAGGCGGGGUAACGGCCCACCUAGUCUACGAUGUCUAGGGGUUCUGAGAGGAAGGUCCCCCACACUGGAACUGAGACACGGUCCAGACUCCUACGGGAGGCAGCAGUGAGGAAUAUUGGUCAAUGGUCGGAAGACUGAACCAGCCAAGUAGCGUGAAGGAUGAAGGUUCUAUGGAUUGUAAACUUCUUUUAUACGGGAAUAAAACCUCCACGUGUGGGAGCUUGUAUGUACCGUAUGAAUAAGCAUCGGCUAACUCCGUG